AGAGUUUGAUCCUGGCUCAGAACGAACGCUAGCGGGAUGCCUCAAACAUGCAAGUCGCACGCGAAAGUCUUCGGACAAGUAGAGUGGCGCACGGGUGAGUAACACGUAGUUAACGUACCUCUUCGCUGGGGAUAACUCCGGGAAACCGGAGCUAAUACCGAAUGAUCUGAUAGGGUCUGCGGACCUUAUCGGUAAAGCCGUAAGGCGCGAAGAGAUCGGGCUGCGGUCUAUUAGCUAGUUGGUGGGGUAAUGGCCUACCAAGGCAACGAUAGAUAGCUGGUCUGAGAGGAUGAUCAGCCACACUGGAACUGAAACACGGUCCAGACUCCCACGGGAGGCAGCAGUUGGGAAUUGUGGACAAUGGGCGUAAGCCUGAUCCAGCAAUCCCGCGUGAGUGACGAAGGUCUUCGGAUCGUAAAGCUCUUUUGGUUGGGAAGAAGGGAAACUUGACUGUACCAACAGAAAAAGCACCGGCUAGCUCUGUGCCAGCAGCCGCGGUAAUUC
rnacentral:rRNA from 1 species